rnacentral:rRNA from 1 species
GUAGUUCGACGUCCGUGGCUACGAGGACACGCUGGCGGCGUGCCUAGCACAUGCAAGUCGAACGGAGACAAUUGGUUCGCUGAUUGUCUUAGUGGCGGACGGGUGAGUAACGCGUGAGCAACCUGGCUUUCGGAGGGGGACAACAGCUGGAAACGGCUGCUAAUACCGCAUAACGUAUAUGGAUGGCAUCAUCUAAAUACCAAAGAUUUAUCGCCGAAAGAUGGGCUCGCGUCUGAUUAGCUAGUUGGUGAGGUAAAGGCUCACCAAGGCUGCGAUCAGUAGCCGGACUGAGAGGUUGAACGGCCACAUUGGGACUGAGAUACGGCCCAGACUCCUACGGGAGGCAGCAGUGGGGAAUAUUGGGCAAUGGGGGCAACCCUGACCCAGCAACGCCGCGUGAAGGAAGAAGGCCUUCGGGUUGUAAACUUCUUUGACCAGGGACGAAACAAAUGACGGUACCUGGAAAACAAGCCACGGCUAACUACGUG